UAAUAUACUGGUCUUGUAAACCAGAAAAGGAGAGCAACCAACCUCCCUAAGAAU
rnacentral:tRNA from 1 species